rnacentral:rRNA from 1 species
UAUAAUUUCCAAUUCAGGGAAUUUUAGCGAUGA